GACGUAGGAUGCAAGCGUUGUCCGGAUUUAUUGGGCGUAAAGAGUUCGUAGGCGGUUACUUAAGUCUGGUGUUAAAUACUGGAGCUCAACUCCAGCAUGGCAUUGGAAACUGGGUGGCUAGAGUGCGGUAGAGGUCUCGGGAAUUCCAGGUGUAGCGGUGAAAUGCGUAGAUAUCUGCAGGGACACCCGUGGCGAAAGCGGCGCGCUGGACCACUACUGACGCUGAGGAACGAAAGCUAGGGGAGCAAACAGG
rnacentral:rRNA from 1 species